rnacentral:rRNA from 1 species
UACGGGGGGGGCAAGCGUUGUUCGGAAUUACUGGGCGUAAAGGGCUCGGUAGGCGGCCAACUAAGUCAUACGUGAAAUCCCUCAGCUUAACUGGGGAACUGCGUGUGAUACUGGGAUGGCUUGGAUUUGGGAGAGGGUAGUGCGGAAUUCCGAGGAUGUAGCGGUGAAAUGCGGUAGAUAUCUGGAGGAACACCGGGUGGCGAAGGCGGCAUC